rnacentral:rRNA from 1 species
AUUGAACGCUGGCGGAAUGCUUUACACAUGCAAGUCGAGCGGCAGCACGGGGGCAACCCUGGUGGCGAGCGGCGAACGGGUGAGUAACACAUCGGAACAUGCCCAGUCGUGGGGGAUAACACUUCGAAAGAAGUGCUAAUACCGCAUACGUCCUGAGGGAGAAAGCGGGGGAUCGCAAGACCUCGCGCGAUUGGAGUGGCCGAUGUCAGAUUAGCUAGUUGGUGGGGUAAAGGCCUACCAAGGCAAAGAUCUGUAGCUGGUCUGAGAGGAUGAUCAGCCACACUGGCACUGAGAAACGGCCCAGACUCCAAGGGGAGGCAGCAGUGGGGAAUAUUGAGCAAUGGGGGCAAACCGGAACCAGCCAUGGCGCGUGAGUGAAGAAGAACUUAGGGUGGUAAAGCUCUUUCGGAAGGAGCAAAACGAAGAGCUCUAACAAAGCCAGCAAAUAAAGGUACCUGAAAAAAAAGCGCCGGAUAAAAACGUG